rnacentral:rRNA from 1 species
AUGCCGGCUCUAGUGUGCCGCUGCAGGCCAUUGGCCAUGGCGGUGCUGCUACUCAUUGCUUCACUUUGUCAUCUGGGUUCUUGCAAUGGAGGAGGAGGAGGAGGCGGAGGCAGGAUCACGAGGCUCCCUGGGCAGCCCGAGGUGAACUUCGGUCAGUACUCGGGCUACGUCGAGGUGGACGGCAAGGGGAGCAGGGCUCUCUUCUACUACUUCGUGGAGGCGGAGCUUGAUCCCGCCACCAAGCCCCUCGUGCUCUGGCUCAACGGAGGACCUGGGUGUUCUUCACUUGGUGUAGGGGCCUUCUCAGAGAACGGCCCUUUCAGGCCCAGCGGGCAGGCGCUGGUGAGGAAUGAGUACAGCUGGAACAAAGAAGCUAAUGUGAUUUACCUGGAGACACCAGCUGGUGUUGGCUUCUCCUACUCUGCUGAUGCUGCCUACUACCAGGGUGUGAAUGACAACAUGACAGCAAUGGACAAUAUGGUGUUCAUGCAAAGGUGGCUUGAAAAGUUCCCACAGUACAAGGGCAGAGAGCUAUACAUUUCUGGAGAGAGUUAUGCCGGGCACUACAUUCCACAACUUGCCGAGGUCAUGGUUGAGUUCAAUAAGAAGGACAACAUCUUCAACCUCAAAGGACUUGCUUUGGGCAAUCCUGUUCUUCAUUUCACCACUGACUUCAACUCGAGGGCAGAGUACUUCUGGUCUCAUGGCCUCAUUUCAGACUCAACAUACAGGAUUUUCACGUCUGUUUGCAACUACUCCCGCUACGUCAGCGAGUACUAUGGUGGAGCGCUUAGCCCGCUUUGCGCGAGGGUGAUGAACCAAGUAACCCGAGAGACUAGCCGGUUCGUUGACAAGUACGAUGUUACCCUCGACGUCUGCUUGUCUUCAGUGCUCUCUCAGUCAAUGAUCCUCUCCCCCCAUAAGCGUGUUGGGCACCGCAUCGACGUCUGUGUGGAGGACGAGACGGUAAACUACUUGAACAGGAAGGAUGUCCAGGAAGCGCUCCAUGCGAAGCUCAUCGGCGUAAAAAAAUGGGCAGUUUGCAGCAGUGUUCUUGAGUAUGAGCUCCUCAACUUGCAGAUUCCAACAAUCAACAUAGUGGGAUCACUGGUCAACUCCGGCAUCAGAGUACUAGUUUACAGUGGCGAUCAAGACUCGGUGAUCCCUCUAACGGGUAGCAGGACACUAGUGCAGAAUCUAGCGCGCGAUCUAGGCCUCAAGACGAGCAUUCCGUAUCGAGUUUGGUUCGAAGGGAAGCAGGUUGGUGGGUGGACUCAGGUAUACGGUAACAAGCUCUCCUUCGCCACCAUCAGAGGGGCCUCACAUGAGGCGCCAUUCUCGCAGCCCGAACGCUCUCUUGUGCUUAUCAGGGCAUUCCUACAAGGCAGGCCUCUGCCGGAAACCUUCUCAUGA